UACGGAGGAUCCAAGCGUUAUCCGGAUUUAUUGGGUUUAAAGGGUGCGUAGGUGGCCUGGUAAGUCAGGGGUGAAAGACGGUAGCUUAACUAUCGCAGUGCCUUUGAUACUGCCGGGCUUGAAUGAACUAGAGGUAGGCGGAAUGUGACAAGUAGCGGUGAAAUGCAUAGAUAUGUCACAGAACACCGAUUGCGAAGGCAGCUUACUAUGGUUUUAUUGACACUGAGGCACGAAAGCGUGGGGAUCAAACAGGAUUAGAUACCCUGGUAGUCCACGCCCUAAACGAUGAACACUCGAUGUUGGCGAUAUACGGUCAGCGUCUAAGCGAAAGCGUUAAGUGUUCCACCUGGGGAGUACGCCCGCAAGGGUGAA
rnacentral:rRNA from 1 species